rnacentral:lncRNA from 1 species
GAUCGCAGGCGCCGCUGUGGCCGUGCUGCUGCUGCUGCUGCUGCUGGCCACCUGUUUGUACCGCAGACAGGAGGAGCGUGACGUGGAGAAGAACCCUCCUGCUGCAAGAAGAAACCGAGUCUGGUGGGCCCAGUCUUGGAUCUCCGCAGGCCGAGGCCACCUGGGACGCUUGCAUCAUUUCCGUCACACUGGCCGGGCAUUCCAGGCGCCCCAGGCGGGCCACCGCCACCAUCACCACCACCACCACCACCACCACCACCAGGCCCACUCCCACGCCCACCGCCAAGCCCAUGCCCACUCCCACCGAGGCCGCCGCUGAUGCCUGCGAAUGGCAGCUGCCACCUGCCUCACCGUCACCAGGACAAGUGGACUCCUGCUUUCCUGCGCAGAAGGGCACCUCUCCAUGGUGAAAGCCAGGUCCUGCUUGGGUGUCAUUUGCAUGCUACACCCCAGUGGGCAACGAUGGAGGCAGAGAGCCUAGGACCACCACCGGGGGUGCCCCUGCUCACACCGGAGGCUGAUAGGCCAGAGAGCUGAUAGGCUGAUAGGUGGUCUCCGAGGAUGGACACCGCUUCGUGACUGCAACUCCCACCUGGCACCAGGAGUGCCAGCUGCUAUGUGUGCAGAUGCACAGAAGGUGUACCCUACUCUCUCUGAAUGUCCGGGCCUCCGUCCAGGGCAAUAGCUGGAAGGGGCCCUGGCACCACCCUUUCAUUUGCAGAAGGCAGUCUAAGGCUGCACGGUCAAUUCAGUGCAGCCUUAAUACAAGAAAAUAAAAAGCACCAAGAAGCUUUUGUCAAGAGGCCCUUUAUUAUUGUAACUCAAGUGGGAGGGAGCCGCCAGGCCUGUGUCUGCUCUGGCCUGGACCUUCCUCUCUGGCAGGAAGUGAGUGCCUGCGCCGGCUGUGCCCUGGGGGACACGGAGCAGCUCUGCAGGGCUCCAGGACAGUAGCCCCUCCGAGUCCAGGGAGUCUUGAGCUCACACUUUAAAGGACAUCGCUUCUUCCAGAGCUGCCAGUGGAGUUGCCCAUGGCUCUCAGAAGCCUGGCCUGAGGCCCAGGAAACAGUGACAGAGACCCAGUGAGAUUGGAGUAGGGCCAUGCGGGGCACCCAACAGCCUAGACAAGGCAGCAGUCAGGGCCUCAGACCAGCACCUUCUUAGAAGAUCACAGGGAGAGUGGCCUGAGGAGCGAGGGUACCUGCCAUCACCGAGAGCCCCGGCUUCAGACAGGGAGCUGAGGCUCCAAGACUCGUCCCAGGUUGCUCAGUGGGUCAGCGGCCACGCAGGGCCAUGGAAACGGCUGUGAUUGGAGUGGUGGCCGUGCUGUUUGUGGUCACUGUGGCCAUCACCUGCGUCCUCUGUUGCUUCAGCUGUGACUCGAGGGCCCGGGAUCCUCAGAGGGGCCCAGGCCACAGCUUCACGGUGGCCACGUUUCGCCAGGAGGCUUCUCUCUUCACGGGGCCAGGUUGCCAUAUCCAACCAGUGGCGGGUGCCCGGGACUUCUGGACCUUCAUGUGAGACCUGCCAGCUCUCGGCCUUUGCUCUGCUGGUGGUCAGACUUGUUUAUGCCCCAGCAAGCCUUCUCUGGUGACCCACUCCUCCAACGCUGGCUUUCCCGUCCUUCCCUGCCUGUGUCCAGUAAACCCUGUCCCAUGUCCUGCAGCCUGGGAGAUCCAUGGUGAUAGGACCAGGUAGGAGUCAGCUCUGACCUCCAGGAGCUCAGCUGGAUCCUAACCACAGGAUGGGGCUUAGGAGAGGUCCAGAGGGUGAGUGACUGAGUGUUGGAUGGCAUGGUGGACCAGGUCUUCUGAUCUACACAGUGAACUGAAAUCUCACCGGACUUUAUUGUGAAGAGUGUUGGGAGUUCCCAUCAUGGCACAGUGGAAAUGAAUCCAACUAGGAACCAUGAGGUUGCGGGUUCGAUCCCUGGCCUUGCUCAGUGGGUCAAGGAUCUGGCGUUGCUGAGAGCUGUGGUGUAGGUCACAGGGGCUGCUCAGAUCUGGCGUUGCUGUGGCUGUGGUGUAGGCUGGUGGCUACAGCUCUGAUUUGACCCCUAGCCUGGAAACCUCCACAUGCCAUAUAUGGCCCUGAAAAAACAAAAAGACAAAAAAAAAAAAAAGAGUGUUGGUUAACUCAGCUUAUCCCUGGAUGCCUGUGACCUGUGAAACUGAUUCUGUUGCCACCAGAGGAAGCAGAGCCCUCAAGUGGACAGUUUUACCAAUGACGUCUUCUCUGUUCCCGUAAUUGAGCCAGUUUGCUACUUGCUUGUGCUUUUGUGCAUCCUGCAGAGCUCACCCCGACACCUGCGCCCUGCUCGUUACCUGAAAUCAGCAGUGAAAUUCUGAAACCAAAGGGCUGCUUCCUGGGAACUGGUGAUUUAUUUUAUAAUUGAACAUGCCUAUCCUUUUAUGGGUCUCCUACGAAUCGGGGUUGGAAUCGGGGUUGGGAAACCACAAAAGGAAACAGAAGAGAAAGAGUCACAGAAAGCCCAAGAUGUUUUAUUAACAGGAAAGCCAGAAAGAAGACUUUGCAACAUGUUUGGUAUGAGAAUUUAUCACUAAAUUCUUACAGAUCACUUCGAAGAUACUGUGAGGGACUUGGGUCCCUCAGGAAUGAUAGAAAAAUCGGCAACUGAAAGGUGAUUUUGAGUUAAGUUAAAAUGUUUCAUUGACAGAGUGUAACAAAGCUCUUGCUUGCAUCACAAAUAAAGAGAUGUUCAGUUUU